rnacentral:rRNA from 1 species
GGGGAAUUUUGGACAAUGGGCGAAAGCCUGAUCCAGCCAUGCCGCGUGCAGGAUGAAGGCCUCGGGGUGGAAACUGGUUUUUGUACGGACGGAAAUGAUCCUUCCAAUAAAAAAGGGCCCUUGCGGUACCGGUAAAAAAAGGACCCGGCAACAACGUGGCCAGCAGCCGCGGUAAUACGUAGGGUGCAAGCGUUAAUCGGAAUUACUGGGCGUAAAGCGUGCGCAGGCGGUUAUGUAAGACAGAUGUGAAAUCCCCGGGCUCAACCUGGGAACUGCAUUUGUGACUGCAUAGCUAGAGUACGGUAGAGGGGGAUGGAAUUCCGCGUGUAGCAGUGAAAUGCGUAGAUAUGCGGAGGAACACCGAUGGCGAAGGCAAUCCCCUGGACCUGUACUGACGCUCAUGCACGAAAGCGUGGGGAGCAAACA